CCUACGGGGGGCAGCAGUGAGGAAUAUUGGUCAAUGGACGAGAGUCUGAACCAGCCAAGUAGCGUGAAGGAUGACUGCCCUAUGGGUUGUAAACUUCUUUUAUAUGGGAAUAAAACGUUCCACGUGUGGGAUUUUGUAUGUACCAUAUGAAUAAGGAUCGGCUAACUCCGUGCCAGCAGCCGCGGUAAUACGGAGGAUCCGAGCGUUAUACGGAUUUAUUGGGGUUAAAGGGAGCGUAGGUGGAUUGUUAAGUCAGUUGUGAAAGUUUGCGGCUCAACCGUAAAAUUGCAGUUGAAACUGGCAGUCUUGAGUACAGUAGAGGUGGGCGGAAUUCGUGGUGUAGCGGUGAAAUGCUUAGAUAUCACGAAGAACUCCGAUUGCGAAGGCAGUUCACUGGACUGUAACUGACACUGAGGCUCGAAAGUGUGGGUAUCAAACAGGAUUAGAUACCCUGGUAGUC
rnacentral:rRNA from 1 species